rnacentral:lncRNA from 1 species
GCGCCGCCCUCCGCGCCGACGCCAUGCUCCAGUUCCUGCUUGGAUUUACUUUUGGCAACGUGGUUGGAAUGUAUCUGGCUCAGAACUAUGACAUACCAAACGUGGCUAAAAAACUAGAAGAAAUUAAAAAGGACUUGGAUGCCAAGAAGAAACCCCCUAGUUCAUGAGGCGAAUUCCAGCACUGCCUUUUGGAUACAUUGAUUCUGCUGUUCUUGAGGGCUUCCUUAUCAUCUGAACCAGAAGCUUUUGUUUUAAAUUCCAGCCUCAACCAUUUUCCUCUCUGCUAGAUCCUGCCUUGCCUGAGAGCACAGAUGAGGCCAGAAGUUAAGAACCACCCUUUCCAUCUUCCUCACCUCAUCCCUUCUUCCUCCCAGCCACUUGAGAAGGCCUGACUGGAAUUAUGGUGCUAGAUUAGUAAACGUGACCUUUAAUUAGUAGUCUCUUCUUUAUUCUUUGGAAUUUCUACUCUUUUCUAAAGAAAAAUUGAUGAGUUUUGUAUAGCCGAUCAGACAUAAAUAAUGCUAAUUUCACAGUUUAGCAAUUAUAAUGGCUGUUUAAACAUUUGGUACUAAAUUUGUUGUUUUUUUUGGGGGGGGGAGGGAGUUAACUUUUUAAAAUUGUAUUUGAAUUCAGUUUGCCAACAUACAGUAUAACACCCAGAAAUUAGAUUGUUUUAAAGUCCUUAAAAUUUUUUUUUAUUUAAAUUUAUUUUUGAUUGGUGUUCAAUUUGCCAAAAUAUAGAACAACACCCAGUGCUCAUCCCGUCAAGUGUCCACCUCAAUGCCCGUCACCCAGUCACCCCAACCCCCGCCCACCUCCCCUUCCACCACCCCUAGUUCGUGUCCCAGAGUUAGGAGUCUUUCAUGUUCUGUCUCCCUUUCUGAUACUUCCCACUCAUUUUUUCUCCUUUUCCCUUUAUUCCCUUUCACUAUUUUUUAUAUUCCCCAAAUGAAUGAGACCACAUAAUGUUUGUCCUUCUCCAAUUGUAAAGUCCUUAAAAUUAAAAGCCCAGAAACCAGUUACUCUGGAAUUAUCCCAUUUAUUUUAUGCUGUUAUCAGGCAGCUCCAUAGUUGCUAAUUUAAUCAGUAAAUUGAUUUACUAUUCAUUAACUGGGGAACUAUAUUCUGAGGGACCUGUCAGGAACUAGGGAGUUUAAAAAUAUGUAAAAUAAUGGCCUUUAUCCUCUGAAGAAUUCAGUCUAGUAUGCAUAUCUUUCCCUGAAUCAUGUCUUUGAUUUGGCUCUUCUCCCUCCAAAGAAUCAUACUCACCUUAAGGGAUUACAGGUGCAUUUGACAUUACAUGAUGGAUAAACGAUACGUUGUAAAGGAAAUUUUAUGCCUCUUCACAUUAAAAAAUGUAUUUACAUUGUAACUUUAUAGCAAUUCUCAUAAGAAACUUUGAGGGGUUUUGUUUUGUUUCCUGUAUUCAGAAAUCACCAUGUAUGUUGACCCUAUGUAUGUUGACCCAUACAUAGGGAUAUCUCUACAUCCCUCAUUUAGGAAGAAGCUACUGAAGAUGAGACCUCCACUCAAAUGCCAAAGAUUUGUCAUUGUCGAUAAAUCAGGAUGGAACAUAGAGGCCACUUUUAGGCAACAGGCUUGAGCAAUAGAGACCUGAGCAAGGCAAAAGGGCCCACAGUGACCACUGAGCUGAUGCAGUGUCAUUAAGCCAUAGGCCCUAACUGACCAAUGGGCCACUUAAAACCAGUUACUGUUCCUAAGAUUGCCAAAAAAGGGAGAAUUCCAUCCGGCCCCAUAGUCCCUUAUUUCGUCCUGUAAAUAUAGCCCCUCACCAUUGCCUCUUGGCAGACAGUCCUUCCUUUGUUGUGGUGCCCACUGCUUCCUUUCAGUGUAUUCAGUAAACUUCUACUAAAGCUUUAAAAAAAAAAAAAAAAAAAAAAAAAAG